rnacentral:tRNA from 1 species
UCCAGGGUAGCCUAGUGGACAUGGCACCUGCCAGGUAAGCAGAAGGUUGUGGGUUCGAUUCCCGCCCCUGGAC